AGAAUAACUGGUGAUGGGGUUCACCACGUCAUAUAAUGCCUCUUCAAGAGAAACGUUCACUGACCGAUUUUUUAUCUUAAGAAGAAUUGGCUAUACCUGACGAAACCGCAAAGAAGCUAAUAACUCCUGAUAACGC
rnacentral:ncRNA from 1 species